GCCUGGGUGGCUCAGUCGUUUGAGCGUCCGACUUCAGCUCAGGUCACCAUCUCGCGGUCCGCGAGUUCGAGCCCCGCGUCGGGCU
rfam:Felis catus isolate Cinnamon breed Abyssinian chromosome F2, whole genome shotgun sequence.